rnacentral:lncRNA from 1 species
UGAAAUCAUGCCACUGCCCUGCAGCCUGGGCGACAGAGCGAGAAUCAGUCUCAAUAAUUAAUUAAUUAAUUAAUUAAUUAAAUAAAAAAAUAAAAUAAAAUAAAGGGCAUCUGGGGGGGUGUAUCCAAAAUGAUGAGCAAAAACUAUGGCAUGUGGGGGCUGUUUCCAAUCAUCCAUCCAUUCACCCAUGAUCUAGAUUUUCUUUCUUGUUUCUUCCUUGCAGACUGACUUCAUCCUUCUGUCCAUUCAAUCAUCCAUCCAUCCACUUACCCAUCCAUCUAUCCAAAGGGGCACAAGGACACUUUUAGGGCUGAUGGAUGUGUUCACUGUCUUGACUGCUAUGAUGGUUUUAUGGGUGUGUACAUGUGUUAGAACUGGUAAAGUGGUAUACUUUAAAUGUGUGCAUGUGAGUGUACCUUAAUUAUAUUUCAAUAAAGUUGGAAAAAAGGAAGGUAAAUAACAGUAGGUCAAAACUGAUAACACCCCACAUUAUCCAUGGACAAGACAAUGGAUAAGCUGUGGAAUAUCCAUACAAUGGAAUACUGCUCAGCAGUAGAAAGGAACAAAUUGCUCAAAUAUACGACAACAUGGACCAUCUCACACAUGAAUGCUGAUCAAAAGACGUCAGAUGCGACAAUCAUUCUGUACAGUUCCAUUUAUAUACACUUCAAAAACAGAGAAAACAGGCCUGGCAUGGUGGCUUAUGCCUAUAAUUCUAGCACUUUGGGAGGCCAAGGCAGGUGGAUCACCCGAGGUCAGGAGUUCAAGGCCAGCCUGACCAACAUGGUGAAACUCUGUCUCUACUAAAAAUACAAAAAUUAGCUGGGUGUGGUGGCGCACGCCUGUAAUCCCAGCUACUCAGGAGGCUGAGGCAAGAGAAUUGCUUGAACCUGGGAGGCAGAGGUUGCAGUGAGCCGAGAUCACGCCAUUGCACUCCAGUCUGGGCAACAAGAGCAAAACUCCAGCUCAAAACAAACAAACAAACCAGAGAAAACAGAGCUAUGGUGUUUAUGAGUAUGUGCUCAGGUGGUAAAACUAUAAAGAAAAACAAGAACACAAUGAUCAUUAAGUCCUCCCUAGGGAAGGAGGAAGGGGUGGUCUCUGGGAGGGAAGAUGAUGGGGCUUCUGGGGAGCUGGCAGAUUUCUUGACCUGGGUGGUUACGUGGAUGUGUGCUUGAUAAUAAACCAUUGAGCUGUACGUUUUGUUUUGU